UACGGGGGGGGCAAGCGUUGUUCGGAAUUACUGGGCGUAAAGGGCUCGUAGGCGGCCAACUAAGUCAGACGUGAAAUCCCCAGGCUUAACCUGGGAACUGCGUCGGAUACUGGAUGGCUUGAGUUUGGGAGAGGGAUGCGGAAUUCCAGGUGUAGCGGUGAAAUGCGUAGAUAUCUGGAGGAACACCGGUGGCGAAGGCGGCAUCCUGGACCAACACUGACGCUGAGUGAGCGAAAGCCAGGGGAGCAAACGGG
rnacentral:rRNA from 1 species